GGAAUCCUACGGGAAGCAGCAGUGAGGAAUAUUGCACAAUGGAGGAAACUCUGAUGCAGCAACGCCGCGUGGAGGAUGACGCAUUUCGGUGUGUAAACUCCUUUUAUAUGUCAAGAAAAUGACGGUAGCAUAUGAAUAAGCACCGGCUAACUCCGUGCCAGCAGCCGCGGUAAUACGGAGGGUGCAAGCGUUAUUGGGAAUCACUGGGCGUAAAGGACGCGUAGGCGGGAUGCCAAGUAUGAUGUGAAAUCCUAUGGUUUAACCAUAGAACUGCAUUGGAAACUGGUAACUUGGAGUAUGGGAGGGGGAGAUGGAAUUAGUGGUGUAGGGGUAAAAUCCGUAGAUAUCAGUAGGAAUACCGAAAGGGAAGGCGAUUUCCUGGAACAAUACUGACGUUAAGGCGUGAAAGCGUGGGGAGCAAACGGGAUUAGAUACCCCGGUAGUCCACGCCUUAAACGAUGUUCACUAGUCGUCGCGAUGCUAGUCAUCUCGGUGAUGCAGCUAACGGAUUAAGGAACCGCGUUGGGG
rnacentral:rRNA from 1 species